rnacentral:rRNA from 1 species
UACGGAGGGUGCAAGCGUUAUCCGGAUUCACUGGGUUUAAAGGGUGCGUAGGUGGGCAGGUAAGUCAGUGGUGAAAUCUCUGGGCUUAACCCGGAAACUGCCAUUGAUACUAUUUGUCUUGAAUAUCGUGGAGGUCAGCGGAAUAUGUCAUGUAGCGGUGAAAUGCUUAGAUAUGACAUAGAACACCAAUUGCGAAGGCAGCUGGCUACACGAAUAUUGACACUGAUGCACGAAAAGCGUGGGGGAUC